UGAGGGAUGAAGAGAGCAGGAAGAUUAAUGUCAUAUUGGAGUCGGACUGCAGAGCUUCUUUUACACUAUAAAUAUUGUAUGAAGUGCUGAUGUAACCUUUACCGCAGCAUGACAUGGGAUUUGGCUGUUUUUAUGGCUC
ensembl:miRNA